UCCCUGGUGGACUAGUGGCUAGCAUGCAGCACUCUCACUGCCGAGGCCUGGGUUUGAUUCGUGGUUAGGGAA